GCGCCUUGACUCUUCCUGCCAUUGCCUUGACACUCCUUUAUUUUCUUAGGAACCAUUGUAAACAGUGGUGCUUUCUAUUCAUUCAAUAGUCAUUCAAGGAAAAUACAAUGGCCUGCCAGUCUGGUUUCUAAGACACUUUUCUUUUAACAGACUAAUAAUGAUGAUGAUAAUAAUAAUAACAGUCCUAAACACUUGAGAAGUGUUUGACUUGUGAUUUUGUGAUAUGAAAUCCAUCAUAUAUAUCUUGUUUGCUGUGUCAUUCUGUGUCUUUGUGUCAAUAAUUAUAAUAAUAAUACAUUGUCUGCCUUUCCUGAAGGCUCAACAUUAAAAGCUGGAUGGUGUCCUACCAAUUGAACAAAAAUUAGAUGUGUUUGAUGACAAAAAGAUGCAAUUUUCUAAGUACCUGUUAUGAAGAAUGGUAAAUAGACAGUCAGCCCUCCACAUUUGCUAGGAACCCUAAAUGCAAAUAAAUAAAUUGCUGUUUUGUUUUGCUUUUACCUGAGAUAACAUUUCUUUAGGAAUUUCUUGAACUUCCAGCACCACACCAUGAUUGACUUCUGGAAGCUCACUGUAGAAUCACACUGGGGGAGCCAGAGAUUCCCAGAGAAAACAUCAUCAAAUUUAUGCAAAAAUUAUAACUGCAAAUGUGGAGGGAUUACUGGACGUUUUAAAGAUGUUAAAAAUAGAAAUACAUGCAACCUUGUGGGAGGAAGUGCCUACGUAUUGUUUUGUUCCAAAAGUAGCACACAGAUAACGGUUGCAGUGGAAGUAUUAUAGGGAAUUGGUUGUUCUUAGUAUAUUCCUCCUGUAGAGAAUAGAAUACAUAAUAUAUACAUAUUAAUAUAUUGCAAUUUAUCAAUAACGAGGACCUGAAAGACAAGUAGAGCUCACCAUUUAUUUAUUUAUUUGUAUCUUGCUUUCUGUCUCAAGGAGACUCAGAGCAGCUAUUUGAUAAUCCACAUAAGUUUUUGACCCAUCUAUUUACAGAUUAAAUUUUAGCUCACAUUGUUGGGUCUCAUUGAAUUAUGCUUAUACAUCACUGAAUGCUGUUUACCUUUUAUUAUUAUGUUGAUUGCAGUGCUUUUUCUUCAACACUUUCCAGUUGUCUUUUGCAACACUGUUUUAUCGCUUUUACAGUUCUCUUUUAAAAAGGAGAAUAUGAAUUUAUAUAGUUAGUAUACAGAAUAGUUCUUGCUUAUUGUACUUUUGGUGUAAACAUCACUACUUGGUAGUAGUAUGCGUUUUAUCUCUUCCUAAAAUGUGUAAAUACCCAAGGGAGGAGAUGUUUAUUAUUUGUUAUUGAUAUGAACCCUUGAGCCAUUUUGGUAUAUUUCUAGGCGCUGAUGAAGAAGUGGUUGGAUUCUAAAAGAUUUGGAAAGAACUGUCAUAACUUUGGUGGCUGCAAAUAUUUAGGCACUAGGCUUUUGAAGUAUUGGAUAAUUUAACCAGCAAUACAUACUGAUACUAUUUUCUUCUACAGAUCAAGAGUACUAAACAGAUGAUCCCAGAAGUAAGGUUUGGGGAUUCCUGUAUUUGCAGAUUCAACUCCUUGAAGAGAAUUUGGCCAAGGUCAAAUAUGUAACUAUUCCUUUCCUCAAAGGCAGAGGUGGGAUGGGCAGCAAAACAUUUUAGUUUUUGAAGUCUUUCAAAUUCCUGGAAGGAGAUUCAAUAUGUAAGAACUUCAACAAUUUUUCUUUUCUCAGGUUUGAAAAGCCUUGCUUAUUAAAAGAUCAUAGCCCUUUAAGCAUCCCUCCCAAUUGUUCCAGCUUGCAGUCAAUUGAGCUCAGGAAUUUUCAAGCACGCACAUUGGCAUUGCUUUAUGUAUGCUAUUGAUGUGUCAUGCUUCCAUUGAAAUGGAUUUCCAGUAGAUCCUUUCUAAGCAGACUGAAGAUUGCAUUGGAAGUUUGUGCUGUCACGCACUUAUCGAGCUUCUCUUUAAAAGAGUAAUUUUCUGUUCAUUUGCCUUAAUUGUCUUUGUUAAAUAUUCUAGACGCUUGUUUCAGUUUCUGCCUGUCAGAGGUUUAGCAAAAGGCUUGACAAGAUGAUGUGCUUAAAACUUCUUUUAUAUAUUGAUAAUGAAUCAUUUUAUUUGACAUUUUUGAAAUGCGAUGACUGGAGUACCUUGAUAAAAGUACAAAAGCUAACAUUUUAUUUGUAAUGACUGGUGGUUUUGUCUAGCUGGAUGUUUUAGUUGUAUAAGCAUUGGAAGAUGGCAAAGGUUCAUAGUAUUUUUCUCUUUUUAUCUGAACUAAUUGUUGUGUUUCACAUCAGCAUAUUGUUGGAUCUAUUCUGAAUAAAAUGUUUCCUAUCAAAAUACUCUGUUUUUAUAGUAUAGGAACCCGGGCCUUUCAUCUCUAUGCAGUUUAUGCCUCUUAAGUUUUCUUUUAAAACACUGACCAUAAAUGGCCCAAGCAAAAUAUAGCUGAGAUCCUACUGCAGUGUAGCAUAAAUAACUCCCAGCACAAAUAUCUAUUGAUUGCUUUAUGCAUUUAUUAUACUGGAAAUCCACAAUAGUGCAAGCUUGUGAAACCACUGGUAAAUGUCAUUGGUUGAAACUCUCUUAGGCAAUUGUAAUGCGUAGAGUGAUGCACAUUGGUUACUAUUCCAUUUCUGCAUUUAUUGUGAGUUCCUGCAUGACACGGGGUUAGACUGGAUGGUCCUUGUGGCCUCUGCCAACUCUAUGACUCUACCUUGAUCCUCUGCACACAUGUUGCCAAAGGAGAGGUCCAUGCAUAAAACAUACACGUCAUAUGUAUGGACCUCCCCUUUGUACCUUCAUCCAAUAAAAAUGCUUCAAGCAUGUAUUGCAACUUAA